rnacentral:tRNA from 1 species
GGGAGAUGGCUCAGAGGUUAAGAGCACUGGCUGUUCUUCCAGAGGACCUGGGUUCGGUUCCCAGCACCCA